AUUUGCAUUUAGCCAUUUUUCAUUAGUACCUUUUGUGGUGGCGAAUUGGUAAAAAAAAAAGUUAAUAAAAAAAUGACUUGGUACAUUAUCCUACUGUGGGAGUAAAAAAAAACGUGAAUAACGACAAUGCAUUUGCGUGGUUCUUCUCUUCCACAGCUUGCAAAAAUUCCUUCCUGGUAACUAAGGAGUGGUAGUUGCAGACGGGCAAUCAAAUAACGAUCGAAGUGGUUUUUCCACGGCAUUGCCAAGGAGAGAAGUAGAGUGAGAGGGUGCAGAACCACCGUUAGAGUAGAGAGUUUCAAGACGAUGGGGGAAAGAGGACCGAGCUACGAAAACUUGCCUGUGCUCUUGCUGGUUACCACCCGUACACGCCGGAAUAAAUCCUAAGGCGCCUAAAAAGCAUCGGUAAAAAAUAAGAAUAACAAUAACAAUAAUAAUAAUAGCAACAGUAAUAAUAAAAAUAAAAAAAGAAAAGUAGAAAAGAGCAGCGAGGGGGUGGGAAGUCGCGUGGUAAAGUAGGCGCUAGCAUACUGGCGUCAUUGCAGAAGAAGUCAACUAUAUGCAUAUGUGUAUGUAGUUUUACAACAAUCCCGUUCUCUCUCAUACAUUUCGAUAAUACCAAGCAAAACGAUAGUACGUAAAAGUUUUUCGAAGCGGUGUUAUUGCCUCCCCACUUGCCAAUCGCUUUCAAUUCACCAUUCGAAGCGUGAAAGACAACCAGUGAAACAAAAUAAAAUAAUAAAAACUAAAAAGAUAAACAUCGCUCCGAGGUUACCGGCAUUUUACGUUAUCCAUAAAUUCAAACGCCAUUAUUGUUAUCUUAUAUUUUACUCCGUAUUAUCAUAAUGUAGUUGUAGAGUAAUGCCAGAGUAUUUCGUCCGUGGAUCUAGGGAAUGUAAAUUAAAUGUUGACUGUUAAAAGGGGAGUAAUUCAUAUGACAAUACCUGUAAAAUGCAACAACCAGAAAUCAAUGAAAAUGUCUCCAUUCUCCUUAGCCACAUCCGAUUAAUGCGGCGAUCUUGAUGUCGAGUUGAGUCAGCUUUCACAGCAAAUCGUCCGCGGGUAUGAUGGCCUUUGAUGUCGUUUCAUCUCCUGUAUAUUCUAUUAGUUUUUCAACGUCUGGCAAAUGAACCCAAGACUUUUCUUAUACACACAAAGCCAUAGUUUAUUUGGUAAAUAACAACACAGCCAGCUAUUUUUAUUGAAUUCACAUACAUCGGCACAGGUAUGGAAAUAGACGUGGGAAAAACAAUUUCAAAAAAGUCCCGCAAUGAUAACUGGGGUUGGUAAAUCCUCAAAAAUAAAUUCACAUGGCAAUUUAUUAUAUACGAGUAAUAAAGACUGAAGUUCUGUGAUGCAAAGAGAUUAAAUUUGGCAUGGAU